GGACAUGGGAGCUCAUCUGUAAGAUUUUGCAGGUGUGAGGCCUGCCAAAUUUUCAAUAUCAUGUAGUUUCCUGAAAGGAUAUAAGCAGCAUCAGCCUUUCUUCAGAUGGUGAAGAAAAAAACCCUAUUAUUCUAUCAGUGACCUUUGGCAAGAAACUGCUCUCUUGAACUGUUCAUGUCUCUGGAGUGUUUGACUAAGGUUUCUUCUGGUCAGGUCAUCGACAAUCCAAAUGUCAGACAACAAUGUGGCCAUUUUUCAUCUUGAGGGUAGUAACGGCCCCUGGGGCACUACAGUACUAUGCCUUAUGGAUUGCCUUAUGAAUGGAGUUAUUUCAAUAUCUAUGAAUCCUCAAGAAAACUGGAUCCUUCCUCUACCAGUUAAAGUUUCAUUUGGUGACUUGCUGACCUGGAAAUGUUGGAGUAUCCAAUCCAUGGACCCCUCUCUCCUCCUUUCUGUCUACACUCAUUCCCUACAUGAUCUCAUGCAAAUUUAUGACUUUAUGUACCAUCUAAACCAUACCAUCUGAUGAACUUCG